CUCGAGUCCUUGGAGGCCAAAAGAAGAAUCCUCCUCUCCUGGGGGCUGUUUUCAUUUCCUGGGCAGACGCUGCCAACUCUGCCAUCCUGGGGCAGCAGCCCGGGCCAUCUGCACAAUGGUGGGAACUGCCCCCCUCCCCCCACUGGCCGUUCCAGUCACUCAUCCAUGCUGUCACGUCAGUUGCUUCCUGGGCCUCAUCUUCCUCCUCUGUUUCAUCUGGGAGCACUUUGCAGUGAAGCUAAUUGCGUGUCUUCCUUGUGCUGUGGAAUCACGG
rnacentral:lncRNA from 1 species